UUCGGACAGAGGUCAGUCGCGCCCUUGCCCUUGGAGCAACAACACCUAAGAUGGGCAGUCAAUUUGUCUUCAGGAUAGUGCAACAUGAAGAGCAGAAUAAAGGCCCUCCAUUUCGCAGUCAUCAUUUCGAAUAACUCACGAUUAUGUGGUGAUUGAGUUAAUUCUCGGGGGAGCCAGUAACCCUAAGAGAAUGCGUCCUUCGGUGGCUCGCCGUCUCCGGACGGAGGGCCGGAGGGAAAUAAAAUACCUCCCCUGGACCGACGGGCAACUUAUGCCAGAAACGGGCUAGAGAAUCUCCCUGCACGGGCCGUGUUUCGAGAACUGCAUGGCACAGGUGACGAGAGAUGCUGGUUCUAGUGGAAAGAUGUAUGGAACCGAAGAAAACACUUGAGAUGAAUCAAUUGCAAUUCAGAGACAGACAGACAGUAGUCAGAGCCAUGGAGAAACCAGGGACUUAUGUGGAUCCUGAGUGUAAGGGGGGUGCUCUAGGAACUUCUGGUCCUGGUAAGCAACUGGGACCGGGAACGAGCUAGUGACCCUUCCUGCACGGGCUGUGUUCCGAGAACUGCAUGGCACAGGUGAAGCGAGAGAUGCUGGUUCCCUUGGCUCGAUGACCACGAGCCACCCUCAUUGAAGUGGCCUGAGUAAUUAAAUUGAUUCAAUUGCAAUUAGUGACGAAAUAUCGAAGAAACGAGGAUCUUUGUGUGAAUGAAGAAGGAGCCGUUAUUACAAUCGGGUGUGAUACUCCGGGUAUAGUCGAAUCAUCAGAACCAGGGACUCAUGUGGAUCCUGAGUGUAAGGGGGGUGACCUAGGAACUUCUGGUCUUGGUAAGCAACUAGGACCGGGAACGAGCUAGUGAACCCUUCCUGCACGGGCCGUGUUCCGAGAACUGCAUGGCACAGGUGAAGCGAGAGAUGCUGGUUCCCUUGGCUCGAUGACCACGAGCCACCCUCAUUGAAGUGGCCCAAGUAAUUAAGUUGAUUCAAUUGCAAUUGGUGACGAAAUAAUGAAGAAAUGAAGAUCAUAGUGUAACUGAAGACGUGAAGAAGGAGCCGUCAUUACAAUCGGGUGUGAUACUCCGGGUAUCGUCGAAUCAUCAGAACCAGGGACUCAUGUGGAUCCUGAGUGUAAGGGAGGGAGAUCUUGGGACUUCUGGCAAGACCACAAUCAACAAACGUCAGGUGUUCUCCAGUGAAGGUCGGAAGAAAGAGGCCGGCUUAGAAUGUAAGUUUUAUUUUAAGUUUAAGAGCUCCGUCUCACCUCACAGUUGAGUUAUUCUUCUUAUUUCUAUCUUUUUUUUUGCUUGUGUGUGAUUGUCAGAUGCGACACGACACAUUUUCUUUCAGUCUUCUUCGUGUCGCAGGACAAAGCUGUCUAUCUUUCCUUUCUUUUUUUAUUUUUUGUUAUUAAUUUAUUUUUAUGGCCUUCUUUCCUGAAUGCUCAACUGUGAGGCGAGAGUAAUAAUAUCUAAAUGAUGGACUUAAUAAUUAUUAUGUUAUGUAUUUUUUUGUUAUAGAUUUGUAUAGGUAUUAUUUUACAACUGGUGGUAGAGUUUUAGUGCCCAAAACUCGAACGGGUAGGUACCACCCUCUUGUCUAUUUCUGCCGUAAAAACGAUGUAAUAUCGUGUUUCGGCGUGAAGGACAAGAGAGCCGACGGAUUUACUGGCACUUAGGGUAAAACACCUUAGCCCUCUAGUUGGGUAAAACACUACUGUUGUCACUUAACACCAGGUAACCAGUAGCGUCGUACCCAACCCGAUACACCCCUAGGUAAACUCAACAGCUGACGGUUGAAAAAGGGUACGAAUUUGAUUUCUCUGUAACUUUUUUGGUGUGGUGAAGUUACGAAUCUUGUGACAAAGCAAUUAGACUCAAACCGUGUUGGAUUAGAGACUCCUCGUGAAUGAAUGUACCAAUGUAACGUGUGCCACAACGCUCAAUAGGCAAUGUAACUAAACAGUACACACAACCAACUCCUACGCUUAUGUUUAGUUUGAUUUUGGGAUGCCCUCGUAUGUUCUAUGUUCUGAAAUCCAUAAAACUGUGUUAUAUUAUUUCGAAAUUAAACUGCAAAUGUAUAGCGUUUAACACCUUAGUUGCUCACCGAAUAGUUUCAUUGUCUUAUUGAUGCUUUACCUUGGCGAUUUCAUAAUAACUACCUCGUUACAUGGUCAUGAAUUUAAUGAGAUCACUUUGUCAUAAAAGCUCGUAACUUAACCAUGUUCAAAACACUAAAUACCAGCUGCUGACGUGAAUUCUACCCUAUUUUUGGCCGUUAGUUUUUAGGUUACCCUGUUAGUAAGACACUGGUACGUAACAUAUUAUAGUAGUUGUAGUCUAUAAGUAUUUAGUUUGCUGUGCUAUACACUGGAUGCUAUCACUGGGUUUAGGGUCAUAGUUAUGUUGAAAGAGACUAAUGUACUCUUAGUUAUGCAAUAAACGAUUGAGUAUUGAGUAAUAUUAUCACUGGUCUAGUAAGUAGGAUAAGUUACAAACGUGUUGUCACUGGCUUUAAUAACUGGGUUGAUUGCUAUGAUGUAAACUGAGGAAGAGGAAGCCUAGACCGAAUAACUGGAAUUUACUGGAUGCAAUCACUGGGACUAGUUUCAUAUUAUAGUAGAGAGUUUGCCAAUACUGGGAUAAUAGAAGUUAAUGUUAAGGUGUGAUGUAUUUUAUUAUGCAUGUCUAGUUGUCUACACUGUUACUGGUAAUAUCACUGGGAUUAAUGUCAUAGGGUCGCACGAUCUCGAAUACUACUAUCCGUUCGCUUCUAGUUGGCAGAAAACAGAUGAAAUUGCAGUAGGGCGGGGAGGGUGGGAGGGGCCAACUAGAAACGAACGCUCAGUACCUACCUACUAUAACUCUAAUAAGUAAUGUUACUAUCACUGGUUUGGUUAUAAGAUGGGUGUCAUGCACUGGAUACACUGGGAAAACUUGUCAUCACUAGAUAAAAUAACUGGGGUCAUUGCUGUGGUACAUACUGAGGAAGAGAAAGCCUAGACCGAAAUACACAAAAUCUUCCUCAAAAUCUGAUCGCAGAGUUGUGUGUGCAAUUAUUGUGUAUUUUCUACAUAGUGUGUUGUGUGGUGAUUAAAGUAACACUAGGUUACGGUGUUGUUUUGGAACAUUAUUGCUCUAGUAUUUAGCUGACCCUGUCUGUUUAUUUUUGUUUGUCUCUACUUGUUAUGAUAGUCACUGGAAUUCACUGGUUUCAAUCACUGGAUUAGUUUCAUGCAGUACAGCGUUGCCAAUAAUACUGAUAAUACUGGGAAAAUAGAUGUUAUUUGUGUGCAAUGUAUCUAUGUAUGCAUAUCUAGUGGUCUACAUUAUUCACUGGUUAUAACACUGGGAUUAAGGUCUUUGAGUCGUAGAUUGUUAAAUGCUAGGUAAAUGGGAGUCAAAAUUACGUAGGUACUAAACGUUCGCUUCGAGUUGGCCGUCAAUGACCGUUACAAAAUGGUGGCAGGGAGGGUGGGAGCGGCCAACUCAGAACGAUCGCGCAGGACCUGUAUCACUUUAGUUAAGUAAUGUUACAAUCACUGGUUUAGUUAUAAGAUGGGUGUCAUGCACUGGGUGCACAAAAGUACCUACCUGUAGUAAAAGACUGGUAUUUAACAUGAUGAAGCUGUAGUCUGUUUUUUUAUUAGUUUUGCUAUGCUAUACACUGGGAUUAGUUUUAGAGUUAUGAUGAAAGAGUAUUAAAUAAACUAUAAUACAUGUUUAUGUAAUGUUGCUAUCACUGUUUUAAUUAUAAUAUCGGUGUCAUUCACUGGGUCCACAAAAGUUAUAUUAUUAUAGUACGACACUAGGUUAAGUAUUGGUGUAAUUUUAAGCUACCUGAGUAAGUGAUGUGAUGUAUACUGAGUUACUGAGAGUAAAAAAGUCUAAGACUAAAGUACACGAGAAGACCAGAUUUUAAAUCUGGAGAGAUGGUGGCCAGUAUUAUAUUAUUAUUAUGUCUGAAUUGUGUAAUUAAUGUGUAAAAUUUAUUUAUAUAGAUUUUAUUUUAUUUUUUACUGGUGGUAGAGUUUUAGUGCCCAAAACUCGAACGGGUAGGUACCACCCUCUUCUCUAUUUCUGCCGGAAAAACGAUGUAAUGUCGUGUUUCGGCGUGAAUGACUAGAGAGCCGACGGAUUUACUGGCACUUAGGGUAUAACACCUUAGCCCUCUAGUUGGGUAAAACACUCCUGUUGUCACUUAACACCAGGUAACCAGUAGCGUCGUACCCAACCCGAUACACCCCUAGGUAAACUCAACAGCUGACGGUUGAAAAAGGGUACGAUUUUGAUUUCUCUGUAACUUUUUUGGUGUAGUGAAGUUAUGAAUCUUGUGACAAAGCAAUUGGACUCAAACCGUAAUGGAUUGGGAACUCCUCGUAAAUGAAUGUACCAAUGUAACGUGUGCCACAGCGCUCAAUAGGCAAUGUAACUAAACAGUACACACAACCAACUCCUACGCUUAUGUUUAAAGUUUGAUUUCGGGCUGCGCUCGUCUGAUGUUCUGAAAUCCAACUAUAUCUCGAAAUAAAACUGCAAAUGUAUAGCGUUGACCAUCUUAGUUGCUUACUGAAUAGUAGUAUUGUCUCAUUGAUGAUUAACCUUGGCGUUACCAUAAUAACUUCUUCAUUACAUGGACGUGAAUUUUAUGAGACCUUGUCACACUAGCACGUAACUUAACCAUGCCGAAAACGUCAGGUUAUAGCAGAAAUUGUGGAUAAGGUGACAAAAUAUCAAUUUUCGACCGACUCUGUUGUAUUUGCCUAGUAGGCAACCUGAUUUUUAUUUUAUUGUACCUGAUUAUUCCAAUUUGGACUUGUAGCGAUUAGGAAUUUGUGUGGUUAGCGAAUUUUCGGCAGCACCUGUUGAAGUUUCAAAUUAUUUAAUUUUUGAUUCAUAUUAUUUUCCGAUAGCAGAGUAGGAGAACGUAAACCAAGCUAAUUUGGUUCGGAUUAUGACGAAAAUAAUGUGAUGAGACAGUUGGAUACUUUGAAAUUUUAUCAGGUGCUGUCUAAAAUUACUGACGACACAAAUUUUAUAUUGCAAUGUCUGUGUCACUUUUAUAAAGCUUGAAGCUUUAUAUGCUAAAGGCAUAUAACGUAUUGUAUCUAAUAAAUUAUAAGCUGUGUAGCUAAUGUUGCAUAUCACUGGUUAGUUAUAAGUAAGGUUAUAGUGUAGCAAUUGUUAAUUCAAAUUGUGUUUUAUGAUGACGAUAAAACGCAUUUUUAAAGUCCCUAUUUCUGUUUGAGGUCUAAAGUUGACGUAUCCUGCCGCCUAUUGUCUUGGGAUACGUUGACUCUAGAACCCAGGAAUAGGGGCGUUGACCAUCAUAAAACUCAUUUUGAUUUAACGAAUGUCGACUUCAUUCACAUGUCCAUCAAACAAACCAAUCACUCAUAUCCCAUUAUCUUAGAUUUUAAUAUUUUAUUUACAAUAAUUUAGUUUUAGUUAGAUUUUUCAAAUGAAUUUGUGUUUUGUGUCAACCUCGACGUUAACCUUUUUGGGUCGACUAUUUCUUUUUUUGUGGUAAAGACAUGUCCCCGGUUUUUUUGGGGUUCAGAAAUGUUCGUACUUUACCGGGCAAAAUAUUUUUAAUUGGGAUCAACUUUUUGGGAGGGUAAGUGAAGUAUGAUCACUUCUUUAUUGUCUUUACCCGGAAAUAGGCGUGGCGGUUGCCGCAAAACACUUAGGCCUACCCUAAAUAUUAGUUUUAGAGGCAUUUAUGGCUAUAUUUCGAUAUAUUUUUGACAUCACUUGAUGUCCGACGGCAUCACUGCACAAUAGUUCGGCUGUAGUUAUUUCUGUCAUCCGUGCUAAGGUUCCAUAUCCGAUAGAGACACGGUCUUGUUGAAUAUGCCUUAAAAACUGAUGCAUAGGGUAUUAAUUUCAAUUUUUUAUAAAAAUAUUUUAUUAAUUUGUUAACGAUUGUAAUUUAUGUGUGGAUAAAAUUGUUAAUGUUGACUUAUUAAUAUAAUUAAAGCAUUAUAAAUGUAAUAGACGUUGGAAUAAACAUAUAAUAAUAAUAAU